GAUGAGCUCGCGGCCUAUCAGCUUGUUGGUGGGGUAAUGACCUACCAAGGCGGCGACGGGUAGCCGGCCUGAGAGGGUGGACGGCCACAUUGGGACUGAGAUACGGCCCAGACUCCUACGGGAGGCAGCAGUGGGGAAUAUUGCACAAUGGGCGCAAGCCUGAUGCAGCGACGCCGCGUGGGGGAUGACGGCCUUCGGGUUGUAAACUCCUUUCGCUAGGGACGAAGCUUUUUGUGACGGUACCUAGAUAAGAAGCACCGGCUAACUACGUGCCAGCAGCCGCGGUAAUACGUAGGGUGCGAGCGUUGUCCGGAAUUACUGGGCGUAAAGGGCUCGUAGGUGGUUUGUCGCGUCGUCUGUGAAAUUCCGGGGCUUAACUCCGGGCGUGCAGGCGAUACGGGCAUAACUUGAGUACUGUAGGGGUAACUGGAAUUCCUGGUGUAGCGGUGAAAUGCGCAGAUAUCAGGAGGAACACCGAUGGCGAAGGC
rnacentral:rRNA from 1 species